GAUGAACGCUAGCGGCAGGCCUAAUACAUGCAAGUCGAGCGGCAAGUUGAGAAGCAAUUCGAGACCUAGAGCGGCGUACGGGUGCGUAACGCGUAUGCAACCUACCUCAUACAGGGGGAUAGCCCGGAGAAAUCUGGAUUAAUACCCCAUAGUACAACGCGAGGGCAUCGGAGUGUUGUUAAAGAUUCAUCGGUGUGAGCUGGGCAUGCGUCUGAUUGGCUAGUUGGCGGUGUAACGGACCACCAAGCCAGCGCUCAGUCGGGGUUCCGAGAGGAAGGUCCCCCACACUGGCACUGAGAUACGGGCCAGACUUCUACGGGAGGCAGCAGUAGGGAAUAUUGGGCAAUGGUCGGAAGACUGACCCAGCCAUGUCGCGUGCAGGAAGACGGCGUUCUGCGUUGUAAACUGCUUUUAUCUGGGAAGAAAAGGCCCAUGCGUGGGACAUUGCCGGUACCAGAUGCAUAAGCACCGGCUAACUCCGUGCCAGCAGCCGCGGUAACAC
rnacentral:rRNA from 1 species